CUUGGUCAUUUAGAGGAAGUAAAAGUCGUAACAAGGUUUCCGUAGGUGAACCUGCGGAAGGAUCAUUACAGAGUUCAUGCCCUCACGGGUAGAUCUCCCACCCUUGAAUACCUUACCUUUGUUACUUUGGCAGGCUGCUGUUUGGCGUUGGCUUCGGCUGACUGUGCCUGCCAGAGAACCCAAACUCGUUUGUUUAGUGAUGUCUGAGUACUAUAUAAAUAGUUAAAACUUUCAGCAACGGAUCUCUUGGUUCUGGCAUCGAUGAAGAACGCAGCGAAAUGCGAUAAGUAAUGUGAAUUACAGAAUUCAGUGAAUCAUCGAAUCUUUGAACGCACAUUGCGCCCUUUGGUAUUCCGAAGGGUACGCCCGUUUGAGUGUCAUUGUAAUCUCACUGCGAUCGACUUUUGUCUUUCCGUAUGUGGACUUGGACGUCUGCCGUGGAUAUCUACGGCUCGUCUGAAAUGCCUCAGUGUACCCCGCAGAGCGGCGUAUUCGGUGUGAUACAUCUUCACCGGAGUUGAUCCUUCACGGGGUCACGUCUGUAAUGUGUGGCUCUAUGCUUCCAACCGUCCUCUGAUCGGACAAUCUUUGACAAUUCGACCUCAAAUCGGGUGGGACUACCCGCUGAACUUAAGCAUAUCAAUAAGCGGAGGA
rnacentral:sRNA from 1 species